GGCCUCAUAGCUCAGCUGGAUAGAGCGUUUGACUACGAAUCAAAAGGUCGCAGGUUCGAGUCCUGCUGAGGUCACCA
rnacentral:tRNA from 1 species